rnacentral:rRNA from 1 species
GACGAACGCUGGCGGCGUGCCUAAUACAUGCAAGUCGAGCGAAGCGGGGACGGGUGAGUAACACGUGGAUAACCUCCUAUAAGACUGGGAUAACUUCGGGAAACCGGAGCUAAACCGGAUACUUAUAGUUGGAUCUGCGCUGCAUUAGCUAGGUGGUAAGGUAACGGCUUACAAAGGCAACGAUGCAUCGCCGACCUGAGAGGGUGAUCGGCCACCCGGGAACUUAGAAAUGGUCCAGAGUCCUACGGCAGGCAGGAGGAGGGAAUCGUCCGCAAUGGGCGAAAGCCGGACGGAGCAACGCCGCGUGAGUGAUGAGGGUCGUCGGAUCUUAAAACGCUGUUAUUAGGGAAGCGGUACCUAAUCAGAAAGCCACGGCUAACUACGUGCCAGCAGCCGCGGUAAUUC